GGAACACCUUUUGAAAUAAUGCCAUCAAACGCCGGAGGUAACGCCAUCAAACGCUGGAGGUAGCGUCACAUCUAGCAUGUUUAAACAAGGACAACUGCAUUACAUUCGAGGAAGAUGGGAGCUCCUAUUCAGACAAGUAAAAUUAUCGCCAUCCUAGCUGUCUUCAUCCUCAUCAGCGCCAUCGAUGUUACAGCCCAGGAUGACCUUGUUGGUGGCCGGGCUGGUUUUGACGCCAAAAGACAGUUUAAUUGCCAGUUCGGUGGAAUUCUGAGCAAGUUGUGCAGACCCCAAGGGGGAUCGGAGUCCGGAAAUGACGAGUAAUUAUCUCACAGAUAACCAAACACAUCGCUGGCUUGUUCUUGGUUCAACAUUAAGUAUCUCAAUGAAAUA